GAUGAAGAACCUAGCGAAAUGCGAUAAGUAAUGUGAAUUGCAGAAUUCAGUGAAUCAUCGAAUCUUUGAACGCACAUUGCGCCCGUCAGUAUUCUGGCGGGCAUGCCUGUUCGAGCGUCAUUACGCCCCUCAAGUCCCCUGUGGACUUGGUGUUGGGGAUCGGCGAGGCUGGUUUUCCAGCACAGCCGUCCCUUAAAUUAAUUGGCGGUCUCGCCGUGGCCCUCCUCUGCGCAGUAGUAAAACACUCGCAACAGGAGCCCGGCGCGGUCCACUGCCGUAAAACCCCCCAACUUUUUAUAGUUGACCUCGAAUCAGGUAGGACUACCCGCUGAACUUAAGCAUAUCAAUAAGCGGAGGA
rnacentral:misc_RNA from 1 species